UGGGGAAUAUUGGACAAUGGGCGCAAGCCUGAUCCAGCCAUGCCGCGUGUGUGAUGAAGGCCUUAGGGUUGUAAAGCACUUUCGUCCGGGACGAUAAUGACGGUACCGGAAGAAGAAGCCCCGGCUAACUUCGUGCCAGCAGCCGCGGUAAUACGAAGGGGGCUAGCGUUGCUCGGAAUCACUGGGCGUAAAGGGCGCGUAGGCGGCCAUUCAAGUCAGAGGUGAAAGCCCAAGGCUCAACCUUGGAAUUGCCUUUGAUACUGUUUGGCUUGAGACCGGAAGAGGUUAGUGGAACUGCGAGUGUAGAGGUGAAAUUCGUAGAUAUUCGCAAGAACACCAGUGGCGAAGGCGGCUAACUGGUCCGGUUCUGACGCUGAGGCGCGAAAGCGUGGGGAGCAAACAGG
rnacentral:rRNA from 1 species